GAUGAAGAACGUAGCGAAAUGCGAUACUUGGUGUGAAUUGCAGAAUCCCGUGAACCAUCGAGUCUUUGAACGCAAGUUGCGCCCGAAGCCUCGGCUAAGGGCACGUCUGCCUGGGCGUCACGCAUCGCGUCUCCCCCAAACCGCCAAGGCGGAGGGGAAGGAAGAUGGCUUCCCGUGCCUCACCCGGCGCGGUUGGCCUAAAUUUGGAGCCCGCGGCACUUAGCUCUCGCGGCGAUAGGUGGUGAACAAGGCCUUGGCCGUGCAAACAACCCGCUGCGAAGCUCUAUGUCACGUGCGCUCGUCGGCCCCUUUGAAGUUGCCUUCGGUGACUUAAAACCUUUGCGACCCCAGGUCAGGCGGGGCUACCCGCUGAAUUUAAGCAUAUCAAUAAGCGGAGGA
rnacentral:misc_RNA from 1 species